rnacentral:rRNA from 1 species
UACGUAGGGGGCAAGCGUUGUCCGGAUUUAUUGGGCGUAAAGAGCGUGUAGGCGGCCUUACAGGUCAGCUGUGAAAACUCGAGGCUCAACCUCGAGACGUCGGUUGAAACCGUAUGGCUAGAGUCCGGAAGAGGAGAGUGGAAUUCCCGGUGUAGCGGUGAAAUGCGCAGAUAUCGGGAAGAACACCCGUGGCGAAGGCGGCUAUCUGGGACGGUACUGACGCUGAGACGCGAAAGCGUGGGGAGCGAACAGG